GUGGUGCGCGCCUGCAGUCCCAGCUACCCCGGAGGCCGACGCGGGAGGAUCGCUGGAGCCGAAAGGUCGAGGCUGCCGUGAGCCGAGGUUGCACCACUGCACUCCAGCCUGGGCGACAGCGCAAGACCCUGUCUAAAAAUAAAUUUAAAAAAAAUUGCGAGGCCUUCAUUCUAUGCUAGUACUGUACUAGGUGCUAAUUAUUAAGUAAAACCGACUGAACUCUUGCCCUCAUGGAGCUUACAGUUCAGUGGAGAAGACAUUACCUAAAGCAGUAUGACUAAAUAUAUAAUGACAUAUUGUAAUAACUUACAUAACAGUACAAUGAGAGGGUGGGGAGGGAUUAUUUAUGCUUUAAGAAGUCGGGAAUCCUGGAACGGAAUGACAUUAGACUGAGACACGGAAGAGCCGCAGGAUCUAUUGCUGGGGAAGAGCAUUCCAGACAGGGAGGAACUCGUGCCGAAUGAUCCCGCUGUGGACAGGGAAUUUAAUCUGAGCUUCGGUUUCCUCUUCUGUCAAAUGUCAUGCAAGAGUUACUUUCAGCCGUGGUCCAGGCACUGUGAAAAAUGCAGAAGCCACACUAGGUGCCCUCUCUCAGGAUUCCCAACCACCUUUACCAAGCAGAGAUGGUAUUCAUCCCACAUUUUUAAUGCUAGAUAUGCUCCCGCCCGGUGCUUCUCUAAUAAUGUUUUUUAAAAGCCGAAGCUGGACUGUACUGCUGCCAUCUCGGCUCACUGCAACCCCCCUGCCUGAUUCUCCUGCCUCAGCCUGCCGAGCGCCUGCGAUUGCAGGCACGCACCGCCACGCCUGACUGGUUUUUGUAUUUUUUUGGUGGAGACGGGGUUUCGCUCUGUUGGCCGGGCUGGUCUCCAGCUCCUAGCCGCGAGUGAUCCGCCAGCCUCGGCCUCCCGAGGUGCCGGGAUUGCAGACGGAGUCUCGUUCACUCAGUGCUCAAUGGUGCCCAGGCUGGAGUGCAGUGGCGUGAUCUCGGCUCGCUACAACCACCUCCCAGCCGCCUGCCUUGGCCUCCCAAAGAGCCGAGAUUGCAGCCUCUGCCCGGCCACCACCCCGUCUGGGAAGUGAGGAGCGUCUCUGCUUGGCCGCCCAUCGUCUGCGAUGUGAGGAGCCCCUCUGCCUGGCUGCCCAGUCUGGAAAGUGAGGAGCAUCUCUGCCCGGCCACCAUCCCAUCUAGGAAGUGAGGAGCGCCUCUUCCCCG
rnacentral:lncRNA from 1 species